AGUGAAUAGAUACCCAGGUAGUCCACGCUGUAAACGAUGAUCACUCGCUGUAUGCGAUACACAGUAUGCGGCCAAGCGAAAGCAUUAAGUGAUCCAUCUGGGGAGUACGAUCGCAAGGUUGAAACUCAAAGGAAUUGACGGGGGCCCGCACAAAGCGGAGGAACAUGUGGUUUAAUUCGAUGAUACGCGAGGAACCUUACCUGGGCUUAAAUGGGGAGUGACAGCUGCCGAAAGGUGGCUUUCUUCGGACACUCUUCAAGGUGCUGCAUGGUUGUCGUCAGCUCGUGCCGUGAGGUGUCGGGUUAAGUCCCAUAACGAGCGCAACCCUUAUCGUUAGUUGCCAGCGGGUCAAGCCGGGGACUCUAGCGAGACUGCCACCGUAAGGUGAGAGGAAGGUGGGGAUGACGUCAAAUCAGCACGGCCCUUAUGUCCAGGGCUACACACGUGUUACAAUGGCCAGUACAAAGGGCAGCUACCGGGUGACCGGAUGCUAAUCUCUAAAGCUGGUCUCAGUUCGGAUCGAA
rnacentral:rRNA from 1 species